rnacentral:rRNA from 1 species
AUGCAGUGUACCCGCGGCAAGACGGAAAGACCCCGUGAACCUUUACUAUAGCUUGACACUGAACAUUGAGCCUUGAUGUGUAGGAUAGGUGGGAGGCUUUGAAGUGUGGACGCCAGUCUGCAUGGAGCCGGCCUUGAAAUACCACCCUUUAAUGUUUGAUGUUCUAACGUUGGCCCCUGAUCGGGGUUGCGGACAGUGUCUGGUGGGUAGUUUGACUGGGGCGGUCUCCUCCUAAAGAGUAACGG